rnacentral:hammerhead_ribozyme from 1 species
GCACUGCCGACGGGUCCAAAAUAGGACGAAACAGCUGUCCAGUGC